rnacentral:rRNA from 1 species
GCGAGCCUGACGGAGCACGCCGCGUGAGGGAUGAAGGCCUCUGGGCUGUAAACCUCUUUUCUCAAGGAAGAAGAUCUGACGGUACUUGAGGAAUAAGCCACGGCUAAUUCCGUGCCAGCAGCCGCGGUAAUACGGGAGUGGCAAGCGUUAUCCGGAAUUAUUGGGCGUAAAGCGUCCGCAGGCGGCCCUUCAAGUCUGCUGUUAAAAAGUGGAGCUUAACUCCAUCAUGGCAGUGGAAACUGUUGGGCUUGAGUGUGGUAGGGGCAGAGGGAAUUCCCGGUGUAGCGGUGAAAUGCGUAGAUAUCGGGAAGAACACCAGUGGCGAAGGCGCUCUGCUGGGCCAUAACUGACGCUCAUGGACGAAAGCCAGGGGAGCGAAAGGGAUUAGAUACCCCUGUAGUCCUGGCCGUAAACGAUGAACACUAGGUGUCGGGGGAAUCGACCCCCUCGGUGUCGUAGCCAACGCGUUAAGUGUUCCGCCUGGGGAGUACGCACGCAAGUGUGAAACUCAAAGGAAUUGACGGGGGCCCGCACAAGCGGUGGAGUAUGUGGUUUAAUUCGAUGCAACGCGAAGAACCUUACCAGGAUUUGACAUCCUGCGAACCUCUUGGAAACGAGAGGGUGCCUUCGGGAACGCAGUGACAGGUGGUGCAUGGCUGUCGUCAGCUCGUGUCGUGAGAUGUUGGGUUAAGUCCCGCAACGAGCGCAACCCACGUCUUUAGUUGCCAGCAUUUAGUUGGGCACUCUAGAGAGACCGCCGGUGAUAAACCGGAGGAAGGUGUGGAUGACGUCAAGUCAUCAUGCCCCUUACAUCCUGGGCUA